rnacentral:rRNA from 1 species
GAUCCGGCUCAGGAUGAACGCUGGCGGCGUGCUUAACACAUGCAAGUCGAACGGAGUUUACUUAACAGAUUCCUUCGGGAUGACGUUUUUUAAACUUAGUGGCGGACGGGUGAGUAACGCGUGGGUAACCUGCCUUACACAGGGGGAUAGCAGUUGGAAACGACUGGUAAUACCGCAUACCUUACAUUAUUCGCAUGUUUGAUGUAAGAAAGAUUUUAUCGGUGUAAGAUGGACCCGCGUCUGAUUAGCUAGUUGGUNUGG